rnacentral:rRNA from 1 species
AGAAUCUUCCGCAAUGGGCGAAAGCCUGACGGAGCGACGCCGCGUGGAGGACGAAGGCCUUCGGGUUGUAAACUCCUGUCACGAGUUAAGAAGGGUCUGCGGCGAACAGCCGUAGGCUUUGACGUAAGCUCGAGAGGAAGCACUGGCUAACUCUGUGCCCGCAGCCGCGGUAAUACAGAGAGUGCAAACGUUGUUCGGAAUUACUGGGCUUAAAGAGCACGUAGGCGGCAUCGUAAGUGUCUGGUGAAAUCCCACGGCUCACCCGUGGAACUGCCCGGCAUACUGCGGUGCUAGAGUGUGGUAGGGGAGAGCGGAACUCCAGGUGGAGCGGUGAAAUGCGUAGAUAUCUGGAGGAACACCGGUGGCGAAGGCGGCUCUCUGGUCCACAACUGACGCUGAGGUGCGAAAGCUAGGGUAGCGAAC